CUGUGUGAGCCGGCUGCCGAGAAAAGCCGCUAUUGUUUGUACUGUACCCGUACCGUAAACCGACACAGGUGGAUGAGGAGAGAAUCCUAAGGCCGACGGAAGAAGCAUUGCUAAGGAACUCGGCAAAAUGACCCUGUAACUUCGGGAGAAAGGGUGCCUCGAAAGAGGCCGCAGAGAAUAGGCCCAAGCAACUGUUUAGCAAAAACACAGGACUAUGCAAAACCGCAAGGUGAAGUAUAUGGGCUGACGCCUGCCCGGUGCUGGAAGGUUAAGGGGAGAUGUCAGGAGACGAAGCAUCGAACUUAAGCCCCAGUAAACGGCGGCCGUAACAAUAACGGUCCUAAGGUAGCGAAAUUCCUUGUCGGGUAAGUUCCGACCCGCACGAAAGGCGUAAUGAUUUGGGCGCUGUCUCGGCAAUGCAUCCGGUGAAAUUGAAGUGCCAGUGAAGAUGCUGGCUACCCGCGCCAGGACGGAAAGACCCCAUGGAGCUUUACUCCAGCUUGAUACUGGGAUUCGGUAUUGUAUGUACAGGAUAGGUGGGAGGCUGAGAAAUGGUGACGCCAGUCGCCAUGGAGCCGCUGUUGGGAUACCACCCUUGCAGUACUGGAUUUCUGACCAGCAGCCGUGAUCCGGCUGGGGGACAAUGUCAGGUGGGGAGUUUGACUGCGGCGGUCGCCUCCGAAAGGGUAUCGGAGGCGCUCAAAGGUUCCCUCAGAAUGGUCGGAAACCAUUCGAAGAGUGCAAAGGCAGAAGGGAGCUUGACUGCGACACCGACGGGUGGGGCAGGUACGAAAGUAGGACUUAGUGAUCCGGUGGUAUUAAGUGGGAAUGCCAUCGCUCAACGGAUAAAAGCUACCCUGGGAUAACAGGCUUAUCACUCCCAAGAGUUCACAUCGACGGAGUGGUUUGGCACCUCGAUGUCGGCUCAUCGCAUCCUGGGGCUGUAGUAGGUCCCAAGGGUUGGGCUGUUCGCCCAUUAAAGCGGUACGCGAGCUGGGUUCAGAACGUCGUGAGACAGUUCGGUCCCUAUCCGGCGUGGGCGUAGGAUAUUUGAGAGGAGCUGACCUUAGUACGAGAGGACCGGGUUGGACUGACCUCUGGUGCACCGGUUGUCAUGCCAAUGGCACAGCCGGGUAGCCAAGUCGGGAAGGGAUAAACGCUGAAGGCAUCUAAGCGUGAAGCCCCCCUCAAGAUGAGAUAUCCCCCGCAUAAGCGGUAAGACCCCUUGAAGACGACGAGGUAGAUAGGGCAGAGGUGGAAGUGCAGUAAUGUAUGGAGCUGACUGCUACUAAUAGGUCGAAGGCUUAUC
rnacentral:rRNA from 1 species